rnacentral:rRNA from 1 species
UACGUAGGGGGCAAGCGUUGUCCGGAUUUAUUGGGCGUAAAGAGCGUGUAGGCGGCCAGGUAGGUCUGCUGUGAAAACUCGAGGCUUAACCUCGAGCUGUCGGCGGAAACCAUCUGGCUAGAGUCCGGAAGAGGAGAAUGGAAUUCCCGGUGUAGCGGUGAAAUGCGCAGAUAUCGGGAGGAACACCUGUGGCGAAAGCGGCUCACUGGGACCG